rnacentral:rRNA from 1 species
AUGAACGCUGGCGGCGUGCCUAAUACAUGCAAGUCGAGCGAACAGACGAGGAGCUUGCUCCUCUGACGUUAGCGGCGGACGGGUGAGUAACACGUGGAUAACCUACCUAUAAGACUGGGAUAACUUCGGGAAACCGGAGCUAAUACCGGAUAAUAUAUUGAACCGCAUGGUUCAAUAGUGAAAGACGGUUUUGCUGUCACUUAUAGAUGGAUCCGCGCCGCAUUAGCUAGUUGGUAAGGUAACGGCUUACCAAGGCGACGAUGCGUAGCCGACCUGAGAGGGUGAUCGGCCACACUGGAACCGAGACACGGUCCAGACUCCUACGGGAGGCAGCAGUAGGGAAUCUUCCGCAAUGGGCGAAAGCCUGACGGAGCAACGCCGCGUGAGUGAUGAAGGUCUUCGGAUCGUAAAACUCUGUUAUUAGGGAAGAACAAAUGUGUAAGUAACUAUGCACGUCUUGACGGUACCUAAUCAGAAAGCCACGGCUAACUACGUG